UCGUUGGUGACCAGCGGAGGGAUCAUUACCGAGUUUACAACUCCCAAACCCCUGUGAACAUACCAAUUGUUGCCUCGGCGGAUCAGCCCGCUCCCGGUAAAACGGGACGGCCCGCCAGAGGACCCCUAAACUCUGUUUCUAUAUGUAACUUCUGAGUAAAACCAUAAAUAAAUCAAAACUUUCAACAACGGAUCUUUUGGUUCUGGCAUCGAUGAAGAACGCAGCAAAAUGCGAUAAGUAAUGUGAAUUGCAGAAUUCAGUGAAUCAUCGAAUCUUUGAACGCACAUUGCGCCCGCCAGUAUUCUGGCGGGCAUGCCUGUUCGAGCGUCAUUUCAACCCUCAAGCCCAGCUUGGUGUUGGGACUCGCGAGUCAAAUCGCGUUCCCCAAAUUGAUUGGCGGUCACGUCGAGCUUCCAUAGCGUAGUAGUAAAACCCUCGUUACUGGUAAUCGUCGCGGCCACGCCGUUAAACCCCAACUUCUGAAUGUUGACCUCGGAUCAGGUAGGAAUACCCGCUGAACUUAAGCAUAUCAAUAAGCGGAGGA
rnacentral:rRNA from 1 species